UAAGGAAUAUUGGUCAAUGGACGCAAGUCUGAACCAGCCAUGCCGCGUGAAGGAUUAAGGUCCUCUGGAUUGUAAACUUCUUUUAUCUGGGACGAAAAAAGGCGAUUCUUCGUCACUUGAUGGUACCAGAUGAAUAAGCACCGGCUAACUCCGUGCCAGCAGCCGCGGUAAUACGGAGGGUGCAAGCGUUAUCCGGAUUCACUGGGUUUAAAGGGUGCGUAGGCGGGCAGGUAAGUCAGUGGUGAAAUCCUAGAGCUUAACUCUAGAACUGCCAUUGAUACUAUCUGUCUUGAAUAUUGUGGAGGUAAGCGGAAUAUGUCAUGUAGCGGUGAAAUGCUUAGAUAUGACAUAGAACACCUAUUGCGAAGGCAGCUUACUACGCAUAUAUUGACGCUGAGGCACGAAAGCGUGGGGAUCAAACA
rnacentral:rRNA from 1 species